rnacentral:rRNA from 1 species
ACUUUGAAGAGAGAGUUCAAGAGUACGUGAAACCGUUCAGGGGUAAACCUGAGAAACCCGAAAGGUCGAAAGGGGAGAUUCAACGCGUCUCGGAGCUCGCGAGCUUCGCGCGAAUGACGGGCGGCCUUCGCGGCCAGCUCGCUACGCGCGUCGACCGAUCGGGCAUCGAACGCGUGCACUUCUCCUCCUGUAGGACGUCGUGACCCGUUGGGCGCCGGGCUAAGGCCCGCGGUGGAGCCCGGACGCCUUUGGCGCGUCCGGACCCGCGGUGUCCUGCCCGGUACGACAGACGGUAUAACUACGGCGCGGGGCCGCGGCCAGUUCGCGUCCGGCGCGUCGCAAGCGCGAACGGCAACUCGGGCCGUCCGGGCCUAGUACCGGAUCCCGACCCGUUCGGCUGUUAGCGGCGCAGUCCUCGGACAGACCCCGUAUACACGCCAGUCUACGGC